rnacentral:rRNA from 1 species
UGGCGGCGUGCCUAACACAUGCAAGUCGCACGAGAACACCUCAGCUUGCUGGGGUAAGUAAAGUGGCGCACGGGUGAGUAACGCGUGGGUAAUCUGUCCCUGGGUUCGGGAUAACUCCGCGAAAGCGGGGCUAAUACCGGGUGACAUCAUCGAGACUUUGGUUUCGUUGAUUAAAGGUGGCCUCUCCAUGGAAGCUAGUGCUUGGGGGUGAGCCCGCGUACCAUUAGCUAGUUGGUAGGGUAAUGGCCUACCAAGGCGACGAUGGUUAGCUGGUCUGAGAGGAUGAUCAGCCACACUGGAACUGACACACGGUCCAGACUCCUACGGGAGGCAGCAGUGAGGAAUUUUGCGCAAUGGGGGAAACCCUGACGCAGCAACGCCGCGUGAGUGAUGAAGGCCUUCGGGUCGUAAAGCUCUGUCAAGUGGGAAGAAUCCAUUCCAGCCCAACACGUUGGGGUGUUGACGGUACCACUGAAGGAAGCACCGGCUAACUCCGUGCCAGCAGCCGCGGUAAUACGGAGGGUGCAAGCGUUAUUCGGAAUUAUUGGGCGUAAAGGGCGCGUAGGCGGCGAGGCAAGUCAGAUGUGAAAUCCCGGGGCUUAACCCCGGAAGUGCAUUUGAAACUGCUUGGCUUGAGUAUGGGAGAGGGAAGUGGAAUUCCUGGUGUAGCGGUGAAAUGCGUAGAUAUCAGGAGGAACACCGGUGGCGAAGGCGGAUUCCUGGACCGAUACUGACGCUG